rnacentral:rRNA from 1 species
CGUAGGGUGCGAGCGUUAAUCGGAAUUACUGGGCGUAAAGUGUGCGCAGGCGGCCGAGCAAGUCGAGUGUGAAAGCCCCGGGCUUAACUUGGGAAUUGCGCUCGAAACUACUUGGCUGGAGUGUGGCAGAGGGGGGUGGAAUUCCACGUGUAGCGGUGAAAUGCGUAGAGAUGUGGAGGAACACCAAUGGCGAAGGCAGCCCCCUGGGCCAACACUGACGCUCAUGCACGAAAGCGUGGGGAGCAAACAGGAUUAGAUACCCUGGUAGUCCACGCCCUAAACGAUGAUGACUAGUUGUUGGGGGAGUUAAAUCCCUUAGUAACGCAGCUAACGCGCGAAGUCAUCCGCCUGGGGAGUACGGUCGCAAGAUUA